rnacentral:rRNA from 1 species
GGCGGCAUGCUUACCAUGCAAGUCGAAGGCAGCACGGGAGCAAUCCUGGUGGCGAGUGGCGAACGGGUGAGUAAUAUAUCGGAACGUGCCCAGUCGUGGGGGAUAACGUAGCGAAAGCUACGCUAAUACCGCAUACGAUCUAUGGAUGAAAGCGGGGGAUCGCAAGACCUCGCGCGAUUGGAGCGGCCGAUAUCAGAUUAAGUAGUUGGUGAGGUAAAGGCUCACCAAGCCGACGAUCUGUAGCUGGUCUGAAAAGACGACCAGCCACACUGGGACUGAGACACGGCCCAGACCCUACGGGAGGCACAGUGGGGAAUUUUGGACAAUGGGCGCAAGCCUGAUCCAGCAAUGCCGCGU